rnacentral:lncRNA from 1 species
UGACUUUGAUGGUUCCAGCCAGGGUGGGGAAAACAAGGCCCCAAAGGAGACCUCAGGUCAUCAAGGUGAGUCCAGCCACCUCACCUAUUCUGUGGGUUCCUGCUGGGUGCCCCAGCUCCUUCUGCUGGGCUCUAAGGGGCUGGGAGGGCACUCACAAGGCUGUUCUGGCUUGAUGACAGCAAACAGUCUCCCAGCCAAGCCCACCCAGCUUGGGUCCUGGGAGGGACAAACUUCGUCCCACCUCCCAAUUUGACCAUUUGAACCUGGGCAUGAGAGGGACUCAGUGUAAGCAGCAGGUUCAGGUUGUGGGAAUGGAGCUCACCUGGAGGUGCUUGUUUUAGGAGGUGAGAAAAUCAGAAACCCACGCAGCACACACGUGUACACACUGCAUCUAGCCUGUGGGUACAGGUUACUGCUCCGGUGUUGGGACUACAUCAGACAAGACAGAUACCCCUGGCUUUGUGAAAAUACAUUCUAAUGAGGUAGACAAAAUAAAUCCUGUGGUCUUAGAAAGUCAGGGAUGCAUAAAGAUAUAUAUAGCUAAGCAAGGGAUUGGAAGAGCUAGGGUUUGCAAAUUUUAAGACAUCAAGGUGCACCUCAUUUAAAAAAACGACAUGGGUUGAAGCAAAGACAUAGACAGUGGGAAGCAAGCCACAGGACUGCCUGAGGAAGAGUGUUCCAGGCCGAGGGGACUUGUGGAUGCACAUGUUUGCACGUUUGAAGGAGGGUGCAUGUGCUUAAGGGUAUCUGGCUGCCCCUGGGCAGUGAGUGUGCUCACUGGUGCCCAUGUGCCUGCUUGCACCAGCAUGAGGGAGCUGGGGCGUGUGAGACAGGAGUCCUCAGGAACAGCUGCUAUCUGGCCUGCGCUUUACUCCAGGCCAGGCACGAGGCCAGGCACUCGACUCCGGUCUUUCC